rnacentral:rRNA from 1 species
AACGCGAAGAACCUUACCUGGGCUCGAACGGCUGGUCAACGGCGGUGGAAACAUCGCUACCCCGCAAGGGGGUCCAGUCGAGGUGCUGCAUGGCUGUCGUCAGCUCGUGUCGUGAGAUGUUGGGUUAAGUCCCGCAACGAGCGCAACCCUUGUCCUGUGUUGCCAUGCCGAAAGGCGGAACUCGCAGGAGACCGCCAGCGAUAAGCUGGAGGAAGGUGGGGAUGACGUCAAGUCCUCAUGGCCUUUAUGUCCAGGGCUACACACGUGCUACAAUGGACGGUACAAAGCGUCGCUAACCUGCGAAGGGGAGCCAAUCGCAAAAAACCGUUCUCAGUUCGGAUUGCAGGCUGCAACCCGCCUGCAUGAAGCUGGAAUCGCUAGUAAUGGCAGAUCAGCACGCUGCCGUGAAUACGUUCCCGGGCCUUGUA